UCAUAAUCUCUGCUCACCGACUUUGUAUCCUAUUAAUUCUAGAAUAUAAAAAUAUAUACAUGUUCAUCAUGUUUGCUUUAUUCAUCUUUCUAGGGCCUGGAUUACUUACAAGAACUGAAUGUGAUACAUCAUGAUCUCAAGGGCGCCAAUAUAAUGUUAACUUCUACGGCCCGUGUGAAGAUAAUUGAUUUUGGCCUUGCCACAAUAGGGCCCAUCAGUACAAGUAAUGCAGGAACCCGCUGUUGGAUGGCACCUGAAGUCCAUGCAUGUUUUACAGGAAGUGUACAUUAUAACUACAAGGUGGAUGUGUGGUCUUUAGGAAUCACAGCCAUAGAAAUGGCAGAAUACAAUCCUCGUAAGUAAUCUUAAAUAACAUUUUUUGUGCGUUUAUGUUCAUUUAUGGAGGAGUGUUUUAAGG